GAGUGUGCGUCUAGCGCGGUGGAACCACCCCGUCCCAUCCCGAACCGGGCCGUGAAACGCCGUUGCGCCGAUACUACUGGGGCCUGAGCCCUGGGAAGGUAGGUCCGCGCACUUA
rnacentral:rRNA from 1 species